GGGCGGAGGCCCAGGGCUCUUCGAGGCAGGCGUAUCCCUGACCCCGGACAGGGACUGACUGAUAUGCGAAUUGAUACGUGUGCUGGCUCACGGUUGCACCUGCCGGGGUCGCCUCUAAACCGCCCGACUUUGUGGGCUUGGAGAAGAAUGCUUGGCGGAGUGAGGUGAAAGGAAGAGUUUAGAGCCUGUUAAAAAUCGGAUAACCGGACGCGAUGGUGCGCACCUGUAGUCCCGGAGCCUGUGAAUUUCAGGCCGGCUUGGGAAUCAACAAGACCCAGUAUUCAGGUGGAAAAAAUAAAAUAAAAUCUGACAGACGCGGA